AGUCGAGCGGACAGAUGGGAGCUUGCUCCCUGAUGUUAGCGGCGGACGGGUGAGUAACACGUGGGUAACCUGCCUGUAAGACUGGGAUAACUCCGGGAAACCGGGGCUAAUACCGGAUGCUUGUUUGAACCGCAUGGUUCAAACAUAAAAGGUGGCUUCGGCUACCACUUACAGAUGGACCCGCGGCGCAUUAGCUAGUUGGUGAGGUAAUGGCUCACCAAGGCAACGAUGCGUAGCCGACCUGAGAGGGUGAUCGGCCACACUGGGACUGAGACACGGCCCAGACUCCUACGGGAGGCAGCAGUAGGGAAUCUUCCGCAAUGGACGAAAGUCUGACGGAGCAACGCCGCGUGAGUGAUGAAGGUUUUCGGAUCGUAAAGCUCUGUUGUUAGGGAAGAACAAGUGCCGUUCAAAUAGGGCGGCACCUUGACGGUACCUAACCAGAAAGCCACGGCUAACUACGUGCCAGCAGCCGCGGUAAUACGUAGGUGGCAAGCGUUGUCCGGAAUUAUUGGGCGUAAAGGGCUCGCAGGCGGUUUCUUAAGUCUGAUGUGAAAGCCCCCGGCUCAACCGGGGAGGGUCAUUGGAAACUGGGGAACUUGAGUGCAGAAGAGGAGAGUGGAAUUCCACGUGUAGCGGUGAAAUGCGUAGAGAUGU
rnacentral:rRNA from 1 species